GGCUUAUGUUUCAGAGCAGUUUCAUCUCACUUAAUGAGACUCGAGCUUUGCCGAUUUUCCUUUUUUGCUUCUAUACUAAAUUAUAAUUUAGAAUGCAUUACCUAAUUUCUGUACUCUGACAUAAUGCAGAUUAUGUUGAUUUACAGGUGGGUGGAGAUGGCUGGGUGCCAGUACCUACAGGUGAGACUCCAGUGGAGAUGUAACUUCCCAGCCUCGAACUUCAGGAGCAAUGUGUGCAAUGCGGCAGCCUCAGCGCAGCUCAGCCCCAUGUUACAGGGAAACUGCUGCAUGAGGAAAAGCGGCCUAGCAGCAAGAACAGGAAUAUCAGCAGUGGCCCUGUCACUGAAGUGUGGCUACAGGAAAGAGUAGGGAGUGGCAUGGACCUCCCAGACCUUUGACACCUUGGAUCUGCAAGUGAGUUUAGCACAUUUUCAGGACCCUAAUACUGUGUACCAGGGAGAAUUAACACACAUUAGUAUCGACCUCAAGGAUGGUAGUUUCUUAGGAGACAAAACUCUGUAAAUAUGGAAAAGAAUUGUUCAAAAAUUUAGCUUUCUUCUUCUCUGUUUGGAUGAUACAAAGGGCCUCCAGUAUCAAAUACAAAUUGCAUUACUCAAAUUUCAAUGUGAAUCUUAAAACUGAACCCCCAUAGAUCUAUAACUAACUUAGAGAACAUUUUGAGGAGGUUAUGGCAAUGUCAGUGAUGGUCACUGGAAUUGACAUUGUGGGUAAAAAGAGAUCUAAUCAUCCAUCUGACA
rnacentral:lncRNA from 1 species